UCAAAUCGGUUCAGUCUGAUUCAAUUGGCUUAGUUAAGUUGCUAAAACAAGUUCUAGGUGCUGUAAUCAGGUUAGGUCAACCUGGUUUGAGUGCAUACCUCUAGGAACCCAGUUUCCUUUACCCUAUAAUGAUAUCGUUUUCACUAUCCUAUAAAGCUCUUUGUCUUUGUUUUUCUCUCAUUUUCUCUCUUCACCUAUCUUCUCUGCCCUUUCUACAAAUGGGCACAGUCGAACAUCAAGCCAAAUGCAAAACCUGGUGGUUCCCCUACACCUCUGUUGUCGGUCACCGCACUCUGCUGUUAGUCGGAAUCCAAUAAAGCCGGAAAUUUCAUCGUUGCUUUCUCUCAGUCUUCUUAUCUCAGAUCUGGGCUCAGAUUUUUGAAAAUCGACCUCCAAUGGCCUAAAUCUGAAGAUGAAGCCUUGCCCUUUCCACUACCGUUUCAACCCUUUUUUCAUCGUCUGAUCAGGUUGAGAUAUAAGUAUGUCUGUCUCUUUUCCUUACUUGUCCUCCUCGUGGGUCCUAAUCUAUCAAGAUCAUGUCGACCAUCGUCAAUCACCAUAAAUUCCAGCACUAGCACUAUCAACAAUAAAUUGUCAAUUAUUUUGACUUUCAGCUUUUGUGUUGUCCUUAAUUGUUCCUGAUUAUUGUGCUUGAUUCCUCUUCUAUGUAUAAUUUGUUUCUUGCUGUGUAUUAUGUUUGAGUAUUGGGGACGGCUUUGCUUGGUUAUUUGGGUGGAUGAUUGGUUUUAAUAGCAAUGGCUUUAAUGACAAGGUUCGAUUAUCUGAUAAUGGUGAGGGUAAUAGUGAAAAGUAGUGGUUAUCCAUGAGGUUAUUGGGUUGAUGGUAAUGGUUGCUGAAUCGACGAUGAAUGACAAAAAACAAUGUGGUUGAUUUGGUGUCAACAGUAGUGAUCUACUUGAGUUUGCUGUGUGUUUAUGUCAAUGGGCUGUGUAUUUUCGUUGCCAGAGGUUAAGAAUUUUGGUGAACAUAAUGAUGGCGAUGGCUGUGUAAGUGGAGUGGGGGGUGAUGAGUUGAAGACUUGUAUGAUUGUCAAUAGUUUUUGGCUAAGAAUCAGUUGCUAAUUAUAAUUGAGAAUUGAAGUUGUUAGUUUCUCUAAUGGAUUCUUCGACUCCCCCAUUCUUGUCUCGAUUUCUCCCUUAAUAUAAGGAAUGAGUCCUAAGUCAAAUAGAACUUCAAAUUAAAAUGUAAUAGAUUCUUAUCAUUAUAGAGUUCUUUAUCUCAAUCUAGACUUGUUUUCAAAUUUCUCAGCAAGCUUUUGAUUUUUAUCCAACUUCUAAUUUCUUUUUUUAUUUCGAAAUUAAAAGAAAAAAGAUAAAAAUAAUAAAUAAAUAUAAAAAAUAAAAAGACCAAAUUUAUAUUGGGUUUGUAACCCAAAUCAAAUCUGAGGCUUAAUAAGACAAAU
rnacentral:lncRNA from 1 species